rnacentral:rRNA from 1 species
CACUUGAUGGAUGGCUUGGCUUGGGCGCUGAAGAAGGGCGUGGCAAGCUGCGAUAAGCUCCGGGUAGGCGCAUGCAGCCUUAGAUCCGGAGAUGCCCGAAUGGGACUUCCCACCGCAGUUUCUGUGGUACUCCCGUCAGGGAGGGGGAACCUCCCGAACGGAAGCAUCCAAGUAGGGAGAGGAAAAGAAACCAAUUGGGAUUCCCUUAUUAGCGGCGAGCGAAAGGGGAAAAGUCCAAACUGAACCCGCAUGGGAAACUAUGUGGGAAUGUAGUGUUGUGGACUCGACCUCAUCUUCUCUUAUUAAGCUGAAGUGGCCUGGAAUGGCCCGCCAUAGAGGGUGACAGUCCUGUAAGCGUAAGUAAGAAAGAUCUGGGUCGAUGUUCCAGAGUACUAUGCCUUUGUUGAGGCAUGGGAAUUUGGGAGAAAACAACUUCCAAGACUAAAUACGUCCCAAGACCGAUAGCGCACUAGUACCGUGAGGGAAAGGUGAAAAGUACCCCGGAAGGGGGGUGAAAAGUGCCUGAAAUCAGGUGGUUACAGACGUGUACGGUCCGAAAGGGUAGAUCCCCUCCGAAGGAAAUUGUGGCAACGCAGGAUUACGAGGAGGGGGGACCAGGAUCGUAUGUUCCGUUUUGGAUCACGGGCCGGGGAGUUCAUCUCUGUGGUGAGGUUAAGGGUUUUAAGCCCGAAGCCAUAGGGAAACCAACAGUCUGCAACACUGAUUCAUUCAGUGUGAGAGGCGAGGUCUGAAAGGGCCUAGAAUCACAGGGACGAAACUAGAAACCGAGCGAUCUAGUCCGGGGCAGGGUGAAGCCUGGCGAAAGCUGGGUGAAGGCCCGCAGGGGUGUUGACGUGCAAUUUGCUCCUCAGACCCUGGAUUAGGGGCAAAAGACCAAUCUAGCUCGGUGAUAGCUAGUUCCCGCCGAAAUAUCUCGUAGGAUAGCUCAGCUGGAGGUUGCUGAUGUGGUAGAGUACUGAUUGGGAAGCAAGGGACCGAAAGGACCCACUUUCCGCUCAAACUCCGAAUAUGUUAGCGCCGUAGAAGGCUGGAGACGGAUGUGGGGGGUAAGCUCCCAUGUCGCGAGGGGAACAACCCGGACUAGGGUUAAGGUCCCAAAAUCCUGGCUAAGUGUAGAAAUCGAAGGUUGUCUUCAACCAUAGACAGCUGGGAGGUAGGCUCAGAAGCAGCCACCCUCUAAGCAGUGCGUAACAGCUGACCAGUCGAGGUUGGAGGCGCCGAAAAUUUACGGGACUCAAGCCAGGUACCGAUACCCUGGAACACAGCUUCGGUUGUGUUGGUAGGCGGGCGUUGUGGUUAGGCGGAAGCAGGGCUGUGAAGUCCUGUGGACUGAUCACAAGUGCAGAUCCCGGCGGUAGUAACAGCUAAGAGAAGUGAGAAUCUUCUCCGUCGAAAUGGCAAGGGUUCCCCGGCAAUGCGUCGUCAGCCGGGGGUAAGUCGGUCCUAAGGCAAGUCUUAACUGAACUUGUCGAAAGGGAAACCGGUUAAAAUUCCGGUACCGUGGAGGUACGUGCGGCAACGCAAGCCUCUAGCCUGACGUCUCGGGAUAGGCUGAGUGGGGUCGUCGCUCCAUUUAACCCUUGAAAUCCAGGGAGUACCGUAAUGGUGAGAACUGGAUGAAGAGGGGAAUAGCCGUCCGUUUUAGGACGGUUCAGUCGAUUCCGGGGGCCAUUGAAAAGGGUUAGAGGAAGGAUCCUCUGCGACCGUACCCAGAACUGACACAGGUGCCAUAGGUGAGGAGCCUAAGACGUAUCGGGUGGAACCUAGGCUAGGGAACUCGGCAAAAUAGCCCCGUACCUUC